rnacentral:siRNA from 1 species
UACUCAACUAAUUAGACCAUCUC